GUGUUGUAUGAAAGGAAAGAAGGUUAGCACUCCUCUUGAUUA
rnacentral:snRNA from 1 species